UGGGGAAUAUUGCACAAUGGGGGAAACCCUGAUGCAGCGACGCCGCGUGAGUGAAGAAGUAUCUCGGUACGUAAAGCUCUAUCAGCAGGGAAGAAAAUGACGGUACCUGACUAAGAAGCCCCGGCUAACUACGUGCCAGCAGCCGCGGUAAUACGUAGGGGGCAAGCGUUAUCCGGAUUUACUGGGUGUAAAGGGAGCGUAGACGGCAGCACAAGUCUGGAGUGAAAUCCCGGGGCUUAACCCCGGAACUGCUUUGGAAACUGUGCGGCUGGAGUGCAGGAGGGGUAAGCGGAAUUCCUAGUGUAGCGGUGAAAUGCGUAGAUAUUAGGAGGAACACCGGUGGCGAAGGCGGCUUACUGGACUGUAACUGACGUUGAGGCUCGAAAGCGUGGGGAGCAAACAGG
rnacentral:rRNA from 1 species